rnacentral:rRNA from 1 species
CCUACGGGGGGCUGCAGUGGGGAAUAUUGGACAAUGGGGGCAACCCUGAUCCAGCCAUGCCGCGUGUGUGAAGAAGGCCCUCGGGUUGUAAAGCACUUUCAGUGAGGAAGAACGCCUGGUGGUUAAUACCCAUCAGGAAAGACAUCACUCACAGAAGAAGCACCGGCUAACUCCGUGCCAGCAGCCGCGGUAAUACGGUGGGUGCGAGCGUUAAUCGGAAUUACUGGGCGUAAAGCGCGCGUAGGUGGCUUGAUAAGCCGGUUGUGAAAGCCCCGGGCUCAACCUGGGAACGGCAUCCGGAACUGUCAAGCUAGAGUGCAGGAGAGGAAGGUAGAAUUCCCGGUGUAGCGGUGAAAUGCGUAGAGAUCGGGAGGAAUACCAGUGGCGAAGGCGGCCUUCUGGACUGACACUGACACUGAGGUGCGAAAGCGUGGGUAGCAAACAGGAUUAGAUACCCCUGUAGUC